GGGGCCGUGGGGUAGCUUGGUUAUCCUACCGGCUUUGGGAGAGGAACCACCAGCGGGUUCCUUUACCUCCUGCAACCCUCCAGAAAAGCCGGUGACUCCGGUUCAAAUCCGGGCGGCCCCA
rfam:Aciduliprofundum boonei T469, complete genome.